rnacentral:rRNA from 1 species
UGGCUACAGAACGAACGCUGGCGGCAUGCCUAACACAUGCAAGUCGAAACGAGACCUUCGGGUCUAGUGGCGCACGGGUGCGUAACACGUGGGAAUUUGCCUCGGGGUAUGGAAUAACUCAGGGAAACUUGAGCUAAUACCAUAUAAUGUCUUCGGACCAAAGAUUUAUCGCCCUGAGAUAAGCCCGCGUAGGAUUAGCUAGUUGGUGGGGUAAAAGGCUCACCAAGGCGACGAUCCUUAGCUGGUCUGAGAGGAUGAUCAGCCACACUGGGACUGAGACACGGCCCAGACUCCUACGGGAGGCAGCAGUGGGGGAAUAUUGGACAAUGGGCGAAAGCCUGAUCCAGCAAUGCCGCGUGAGUGAUGAAGGCCUUCGGGUUGUAAAGCUCUUUACUCGGGACGAUAAUGACGGUACCGAGAGAAUAAGCCCCGGCUAACUCCGUG